rnacentral:rRNA from 1 species
UACGGGAGGCAGCAGUGGGGAAUAUUGCACAAUGGGCGCAAGCCUGAUGCAGCCAUGCCGCGUGUAUGAAGAAGGCCUUCGGGUUGUAAAGUACUUUCAGUCGUGAGGAAGGUGUUAAGGUUAAUAACCUUAGCGAUUGACGUUAGCGACAGAAGAAGCACCGGCUAACUCCGUGCCAGCAGCCGCGGUAAUACGGAGGGUGCGAGCGUUAAUCGGAAUUACUGGGCGUAAAGGGCACGCAGGCGGUUAAUUAAGUUGGAUGUGAAAUCCCCGGGCUUAACCUGGGAAUGGCAUUCAAGACUGGUUAGCUAGAGUCUUGUAGAGGGGGUAGAAUUCCAUGUGUAGCGGUGAAAUGCGUAGAGAUGUGGAGGAAUACCGGGUGGCGAAGGCGGCCCCUGGGACAAAGACUGACGCUCAUGUGCGAAAGCGUGGGGAGCAAACAGGGAUUAGAUACC